ensembl:lncRNA
GGGAGCUGUUGCCCAGGAAACAGUAUGAUGUCAUUGCACUAGAGACAGUUGCUAUGGUUACUGAGUUGGCUGAGGUAACUGGGAAUAAAGGAGUUGUUAUCAGACCAGAGCCAGGAAAUGUUCCCUUUAAUGGGAAUAAUAAAAAAAAGACACUUUUAAUGUAUUUAUGUUUCAGGGCGGUUUGCCUGUGAUUCAAAGUCCCCAGUUAUUUUUCUGAUGCAGUGUGCUCAAUUUGGGCUUCUUUCAGUUGGGCUGAGUGAUCUUGCUCAUCUGUUUCUACUCUUGAAUGUUAUUGUGGACAUCACACCACAGUAAAAUGGAAAAAAGAACUGUGUUGUCCCGUGCUUCUGUGUAAUAUGUGUUCCCACCUGUUGUUGCUGUUUGCUUUUUCCUGUUUGGUUUCUGUGUUUUCUGUGAUGAAUAGUCCAGCCCAGUUAUUAUCCCAGCUGAUGUCAGAGAUACGCUAACAGUGAAUAUUACAUGUCUGAGCUUGCUUCAUCUGCCCCAGGCUCUGUCUGUAAAAGGCAAGCUAUAAUUUGUUUUCCACUUCUUUUCUGCCUUCUACCUGCUUUUUGUUUUUCAUUGUAGUCAUUGCAGGAGUUCCAGGAAAAGUCCAAUGCGAAAAGUGAAGCAGAGAUUAAAUAAAAAGUAGGUCAGCAGGAAACAGCAAUUGUAAGAGAUGGCAACAAGAUAAAACAGCUAAUGGAGGUGAAAAGUGGCAGUCAGUCAGCACUGAGAGGCUCAUAACGGUCAGGUGAGAGACAUGGGGCAUCACUAAGCCUGUCUUUCAGACGUGUGUAAAUGCUUAAUUUCUAACCUGAUAAAUGUUUAGCUAAUCAACAUGCAAUGGUGCUAUUUGCAAAUCUUUUGAGCUAGGGGACUUGCAUCACUGUGAAAUGUGGGCCAAUAAUCAUAGAACUUCCUGGACUCACAAUUUUAUGGUUGCUAGAAUGGAAUACUGUUGAAUCUGAUAUUGGAGUGAUAUAUGAUUCCUGCCAUGAAUGGCCACCGAAGUUACUUUUCUUGUUAAAUAGGGUUCAGAAUGACCCCUUGAAUUUGUGUUUGUUUUUGUUCACUACCACACAACAUGGGUUUAUUAUAUUUAAAUACAUUUUAAAUGUAUACGUUUAAGUCACCCUUUUAUGGUAAAGUAUGAGAAAGAAAGCAAGAAGGUGUAAUGUAUUUAAUGGUCAGGAAGGUCAGUAAUUGUAUUCAGUGAUAUAGCAAUACUAGAGAUUGUAUAUUGAUAAAGAAUUACAGGUUUGUUUUCUACUACUGUCUACUGCUUGGGAUAUCUGUAUGUGAAAAUCUGUGUGUAGAAGGAGGAGGCACCAUCCACUGUUAGACUAUAGACAGUCCUACAAGCAGGGUGAUCUCAGCUUUUGCUGAGCAAUGCUUCCAUCUACUGGAGAAUUCUCUUCUCACAGUAUUUACUCUAUUCUGAGACCCAAAGUCUUGAUAGUUAAAACCCCCAUAUAUUUAUUGUUUAUCAAUUAUUCUGAGAACAAAGAUAGUUCCUCUAUUCUAUCAAGUAGCUAACACAAAGUGCUUUUACUUCUUUACAUUUGAAGGAUGUAUAGUUAUCUACUUAUCUUGAGUCAGUACUCUGUGUUGUGUUUUGUUGGUUUUUUUUUUCCUGAAAUGCAGUUCUUAAGAUGGUAGUAAUAUAAAUUGAAGUACAAAAUGUAGAAUUAUCUUGCUAGAGAGUGACUGUGUGAUUUGUGGCAUUAAAUAACGAUUUCAGGAAAAGACUUCAGAGACUGUAGGAUUACCCUCAUACUCUUUAUGAGCAAACAGGAUUGAGGUAGAUAUCCAUUGAGACAGAACAUAUAUUAGUGUUGGAAUUAGAGAAUUAGACUCAGUAGAAUUUGCACUGCUGCUGUGCAUCAGAGUUUGCCUGUGCUUUGCCAGGAUCACUGUAGGAGGCACUCAGCACUACUGUAAUCAGUACUGAUCUGCCAUUUAGGGAAGUGAAAGUUUUUUUUUUUCUUGUGGCUGAGAAGAAACGCUAGGAAUAGUGGCUUCCAGUUUUCUUAUUAGAAUCUCCCUGAUUCCUUAAGCAUGUUAAAGUGUCCGAUUAGAAAAAUUAGGAACAAACUUGUAAAAUGCACAAAGACUGAAUAGUAACAAUAUCAAAGUACCUUUGGACUUGAUACAAGUCACAGAAUGGCUUGGGUUGGAAGGGACCUCAAAGCCUACCCAGUUGCAAGCCGUGCCAUGGGCAGGGACGCCUCCCACCAGAGCAGGCUGCCCACAGCCCAUCCGGCCCAGUCUUGGGCCCUGCCAGGGAUGGGGCAGCCUCUGAGUAGAGUUUCUUCCUAAUGGCUAAUCUAAACUUACUCUCUUUUAGUUUAAAACCAAUACAGCUUAUCCUGUCGCUACAUGAAACAAAUAUAACAAAUAAAAGUGAUAUCCUUAUAUGGAAUUAUAUAUACAAUUAAAAAGUUUAUAUAUAGAUCUGUGUACUAUCAAAGUUUUAUAGGUAUGCAUAUACAACUACAUAAAUGUGUGUGUAUACAACAUGAUCACAAAUGAAUAUAACACAGUAAGUAAAUAAACAGUACUUAGCUCAUUGCUUCUAUGAAAAGAACACAAUGUCACUGCACCUUGUCCCUGCCUACAUGCAAUCUAUGUGGUUCUGUGCCCUUUGGGAUCAUUAAUACUCUGUGAUAAGUAUCUUCAUUUGUUCACGUGAAAUCUUGAUGAACUUCUAUAAUGGCCUUCACUAAAUAACUUUGUAGAAUGCAUCAGCUUUCACAUUUUGUAUUACCUUUAAGCUACUUGAAAUACCUAUGCUUUAUGAGGUGCUUUGUUUUUCAAGUGUUUAACUGGAUUAUACAGUAGCCAUUCCAGGUACUCCUUGGUUUAUGGCAGAGAGCUCGAAAGAUGCGGCAAAGCACAGGAAUGGAUUUUAGAGGUUUAAGUAUGUUUUAUAUUCUAUUAAGGUUUUUAAAUGACUGAAAUGGUAGGAAGCAUAGGCUUCAGAUUUGCAUUGGUUGUUCUUCCACUGUUAAGAACAAAUAGUUCAGGGUACUUUCCAUUCGUAAUACCAUGUUUUAUUUGUAAGCUGGUGCUUGUGUGGGGAUGUUUCUGUGCUGUGGGGGAAGUAAGCGGCUCAGUAUUUCUUAGUGGUGUGUAUACUGCCUUGAGUGUUCAGAAAUUAGUGUGUAAAUGCUAGGAACACUACAGCCUAUGUCCAAAAAUGAUGAUUUUUGUGGAUAAACAAUUAUUGUUAACCGUUGCAGCCAUCAGAAGCUGCAUAGAAAUAACUGAGCUGAAUAUGCAGUUAUAGAAAUUAUGUGAAGCCCCAAUGCAGAAACUUAGAUAUUUGUAGUUUUCCCUCUGUUAUUACUUCAUUUACAGCAGCAGCACUAUCAUUUUAGUUAUUUAAUAAGGAUUUACUUGGAGGUCAAAAAAAAAAAACCAAACACCCCACAUUCUGCUGCUGAUGCACAUGCUUUUGUCCAGGAGUGUUUUGGCUGCCAAUAUCAUGGUUUGCCUGCUAUCUAAUGCCUUAGCAGAUUGUGACUCACACAGGCUGGUGCUGAGCUGAGCUUGUGAGCUGAGCUUUUGUUUUUUGUUACUACUUUCAAACUCAGAUGGAGCUGCUUACUGUCGGUGUCAAUGGGUACACAUGCUCUUGCUGCCUCAAAUAGUUUUCUCAGAAAGUAAGAAUUCAGUACGCAGUCAAUAUUCAUUAGGAAUCUACUCAGAGUGGCCAUGGUUGCCUUUUAUGUGACGUGGCUGUAAUUAUAGACAGUGGUGUAUCCUGGGAAAACGUUCUCUUGUGUGUUCUUCAUCUCCUAGGACUGCACACAUAGGGAGACUGUGAGGUUGACUUGAUGAAUGUGAUUGAAAUAAUAAAUCAGCAUCAUUUUUUUUAUUAGAAUCUGCUCUUUAGUCCAUUAAGAACAUGAAUACAUUCUUGUUGCACUACUGUUGUCUGUGCCAAAUUCACAAAAAUUCAGAAGAAUUUAUUUUGUUUGGUAAGGUGACAGGCAGAAAAUGUUUGAAGGUAUUCCCCUUAAGAAUAGAUUUAUACAAUGUUAAGCACAGUAUGAUGCUCCUCAAGUAUGAAGAUAAUAUUGGUUAUUUCAAAGGAAUAAAAAUGUCUCUGUAUGCAGAGGAAGAAGAGAGAGUAAAUCUUGAUCUGAGCAAUUGAGUCACAUGGAUAUCAAUUUACUUUUCAGUUCCUGGGAAAUGAGCAUUGCAGCUGAUUAUUUAUGGCUGCUGUGUUCUGUAAAACUUUGCGACUGACACACCAUUUUACAAGCUUUAUAGAGGCUGCUACCUUCUAUGCUUUUGUGAUACUGUGUUGUAUGAUGUCAACAUUAGUUUUGAGUAUCAUUCUAUUCUAAAUCUUAGGAAGUAGCAGCAGAAUUGAAUUCAUUGUAAUGCUCUUGAUGUUCAGUUAUGCUCAGCUUGGCAUGAUAGCUGUUAUGAAGUCCUAAUUACAGUGAUCGAUCCUGAUGUGAUCUGACUGAACAAAUGAAAGAAAUUAAGCAGAGAUGUCCAUUUGCACAAGCUUGUGUGAUUUAGCACUUUUGCUCUCUUUUUCCCUAUGCUACCUGUAGUGGUUGAGUACACAUCUUAACUACUCAUUUUUAUUCUGUUCUAUAGGGUUUCUAGAGAGAUCUUUCACACUAAUUGUUCCAUU